CACGCCGUAAACGAUGUCAACUAGCCGUUGGGAGCCUUGAGCUCUUAGUGGCGCAGCUAACGCAUUAAGUUGACCGCCUGGGGAGUACGGCCGCAAGGUUAAAACUCAAAUGAAUUGACGGGGGCCCGCACAAGCGGUGGAGCAUGUGGUUUAAUACGAAGCAACGCGAAGAACCUUACCAGGCCUUGACAUCCAAUGAACUUUCCAGAGAUGGAUUGGUGCCUUCGGGAACAUUGAGACAGGUGG
rnacentral:rRNA from 1 species